rnacentral:rRNA from 1 species
CAGGAUGAACGCUAGCGGCAGGCUUAACACAUGCAAGUCGAGGGGCAGCGAGAUGUAGCAAUACAUUGUCGGCGACCGGCGCACGGGUGCGUAACGCGUAUGCAACCUACCAUAUACAGGAGGAUAACCAUUCGAAAGAAUGACUAAUACUCCAUAGUAUAUUUUGAGGCAUCUUAGAAUAAUUAAAGAAUUUCGGUAUAUGCUGGGCAUGCGUGACAUUAGCUAGUUGGAGAGGUAACGGCUCACCAAGGCUACGAUGUCUAGGGGUUUUGAGAGGAAGAUCCCCCACACUGGUACUGAGACACGGACCAGACUCCUACGGGAGGCAGCAGUGAGGAAUAUUGGUCAAUGGACGGAAGUCUGAACCAGCCAUGCCGCGUAGAAGGAAGACUGCCCUAUGGGUUGUAAACUUCUUUUAUACGGGGAUAAACCUAUCUUUGCGAAGAUAGCUGAAGGUACCGUAUGAAUAAGCAUCGGCUAACUCCGUGCCAGCCGCCGC